GUAUAGCUCAGUUGAGAGAGCCCGAGACUCUUAAUCUCAGAGUUGUGGGUUCGAGCCCCACAUUGGGCCA